UACAGAGGUCUCAAGCGUUGUUCGGAUUCAUUGGGCGUAAAGGGUGCGUAGGCGGCGCGGUAAGUCGGGUGUGAAAUCUCGGGGCUUAACUCCGAAACUGCAUUCGAUACUGCCGUGCUUGAGGACUAGAGAGGAGACUGGAAUUUACGGUGUAGCGGUGAAAUGCGUAGAUAUCGUAAGGAAGACCAGUGGCGAAGGCGGGUCUCUGGACAGUUCCUGACGCUGAGGCACGAAGGCCAGGGGAGCAAACGGG
rnacentral:rRNA from 1 species